rnacentral:rRNA from 1 species
UACGUAGGGGGCAAGCGUUAUCCGGAUUUACUGGGUGUAAAGGGAGCGUAGACGGAAUUGCAAGUCUGAUGUGAAAAUCCGGGGCCCAACCCCGGCCCGCCGUUGAAACUGGCUGGCUUGAGUUGGGGAAAGGCAGGCGGAAUGCGCGGUGUAGCGGUGAAAUGCAUAGAUAUCGCGCAGAACCCCGAUUGCGAAGGCAGCCUGCCGGCCCCACACUGACGCUGAGGCACGAAAGCGUGGGUAUCGAACAGG